AUUUAGUUUAAAAAGUUCUAGAAUAUUAAUUUGUGGAAUUAAAGAUGGUAAAUUUUACCUUUAGAUA
rnacentral:tRNA from 1 species